UACUCACAUGUGGUAGUCCCCGGCGACCACAGGAGUUUUGUUAGUCUUAUUUUGCGUUUUCUCUACAGACUCGUGCAUGUAUUCGCUCGCUGAUUAGUCUUUGCUCAUUGAAUUACACCCCCUAGGCAUUGCUUUGAGAAUGGCUGCGUCAAAGGGAUCCAUAGUUCUUACCCCUGUGCCUCGUGUAACCAUGUCCAACAUCAUGGUUGUAGGAGUGAAGUGCUGUAGGAGUGUCGGGUAGUUUUAGUAUUGAAAUCUAGAGGGCAUACCGGUAUGCACUUUCUGGAUUUAUCUAUGAAGGGGAUUCUCAUGCAUCUCAGCAGUAUGGAUGAGUGUGGGCGACGUCUUGCAAACAAAGGUCAGUCCUCGGACCCGGGAGACCCACAUGUGGCGGAAGGCCUGCGGAAGCAAUAGCCGCUCGCCUGCCGUGCCGUGGCCCGUGCUCUGCAGUUGGACGCCGAGUGGAAAAAGUUCACCAUGGCUUCUCCACGAGGAGACGAGUUGGACACCAUUUGGAGUGGAGUUCCUACAGGAAACGUUCUUCAGUAAGUCGAUUUUGACAAGUGACUACAAAUAAGAAGUCUUGGCAAUUACGAAUUGUGCACAUGCUAUAGGCCUACUGUGACUUGUUGUGACCCGUCUUUCAAUGAUGAGAACUCAACCAGUUCUGCUGCUGAGUGAUCAGUGAUGCUACUUCAGAUCUGAGAAGGACAAUAUUGUCAAAAUGGAAAUCAUUUCAGGGUAUGGUGAAUGGGGUUCAUGACCAAGUAUGUGCAUCUUCAUGUUUACAGGAUUAGGACAUACUUGACGGGAAUCCAAGCCAACCAGUUCAUCUUUGAAGUUAUCCAGAUUAGGAUGUCCUUGAUGGGAAGCCAAGACGGGCAGUUGGACGAGCAGAAUUUAUUCAAUCCCGGAGACGCCCCGUGUACCCAGAUGCGUGACUCGAGGAAGACUGAAGACAAGGCUCUAGUGAGGUGGACAGAGGGGCACCGUGUUUCUUAAUAAAUGUUGCAUAAAAACUUG